rnacentral:lncRNA from 1 species
AUUUCUACUACAGUGGCGGAGCCGUACAGGACCUGUUUCACUGCAGGGGGAUCCAAAACAAGCCCCGUGGAGCAGCAGCCAGAGCAACAGCAGCCGCAAGACAUUGUUUCUCUCCCUCUGCCCCCCCUUCCCCACGCAACCCCAGAUCCAUUUACACUUUACAGAGCAUCGUGCAUCAAGUCACCAGGGUGGUCCAUUCAAGCUGCAGAUUUGUUUGUCAUCCUUGUACAGCAAUCUCCUCCUCCACUGCCACUACAGGGAAGUGCAUCACAUGUCAGCAUACUGGAGCAUAGUGAAAGAGUCUAUUUUGAAGCUUCAAACUUAGUGCUGCUGCAGACCAGGAACAAGAGAGAAAGAGUGGAUUUCAGCCUGCACGGAUGGUCUUGAAACACAAAUGGUUUUUGGUCUAGGCGUUUUACACUGAGAUUCUCCACUGCCACCCUUUCUACUCAAGCAAAAUCUUCGUGAAAAGAUCUGCUGCAAGGAACUGAUAGCUUAUGGUUCUCCAUUGUGAUGAAAGCACAUGGUACAGUUUUCCAAAGAAAUUAGACCAUUUUCUUCGUGAGAAAGAAAUCGACGUGCUGUUUUCAUAGGGUAUUUCUCACUUCUCUGUGAAAGGAAGAAAGAACACGCCUGAGCCCAAGAGCCCUCAGGAGCCCUCCAGAGCCUGUGGGAAGUCUCCAUGGUGAAGUAUAGGCUGAGGCUACCUGUGAACAGUACGCAGUGAAUGUUGUAAGUUAACAACCAAGAACAAUAUGUGUAGUGGCUUGCCUUGUAGGAUUCAUGAAUCACUUGAUGUAACCGAGCCAGGUGUUGAAGGGGUAUUAGCAUGAGCUCUAGGUGAUCGUCCAAUUAAUUUCUUUUUUUAAUUGGAAGGGAAUUUAAUUUUUUAAGGGAAGAGGUCCUGUUUGUAUUUGCUGGAACUUGCCUUUCUCUCGGCUUCUAUGGCAUGCUGCAAACUAUCUACUUCAGGAAUAAAAGGAUGGAAUACAGUGAUUCUUUCAUUGUAGGAACACCUUUUCUACUGGUACAGUCAAAUAGUAUCAGAUUUAGAGCAGCCCCUUUAAACUGGGCUGUUGCAGUUCUUUUAGGUUGGUGAGUAGGGGGUAAAAUUCUCCAGGCUAAGGAUUAGCAAUCAGAGUUUCCAUCCAGCAAUUAUUCUUCUGUAUGUGCAGUUGAUGAAAAUGACAUUUUUCUCUCUGGCUUGUAAAAUCUUGAGGUAUGCAAGUUACAAGCAGUUAUGUUUGGUGCUUCCCUUACUUAAAAUGAGCUGAUUUACUGGUUUUGAUCAGUUACUGGCUUGGGAUUUUGAGAUUAGUAAAGUUUGUUCCCACAUGUCACCUGAUGGCCGCCUUGCAUGAGAAGUUUUAGUGUCAGGUAAUGGAAGAGAUGACAUAGUGUGACUUCAGGGAGCCCUUCCACUAGGAAAUAAUGCAAAGGUGCUCAGCCCUCCUACUUUCUAGAGAAUUUACCUUGUUGCUGGACUGUGUCACAAAACACAGUUAGGAGAUUUUGACCAGGAAAGAAAAUAGCUACAUGAAACCCAGGAUGGCCUAUGAAUACCUCUGA